rnacentral:rRNA from 1 species
UACGGGGGGAGCAAGCGUUGUUCGGAUUUACUGGGCGUAAAGGGCGCGUAGGCGGCCAGCACAAGUCAGUUGUGAAAUCUCCGGGCUUAACUCGGAAAGGUCAACUGAUACUGUGCGGCUAGAGUGCAGAAGGGGCAACUGGAAUUCUCGGUGUAGCGGUGAAAUGCGUAGAUAUCGAGAGGAACACCAGUGGCGAAGGCGACUACCUGGCCUGUUCUUGACGCUGAGGCGCGAAAGCUAGGGGAGCAAACGGG